rnacentral:rRNA from 1 species
UACGGAGGGUGCAAGCGUUAUCCGGAUUCACUGGGUUUAAAGGGUGCGUAGGCGGGCAGGUAAGUCAGUGGUGAAAUCUCCGAGCUUAACUCGGAAACUGCCAUUGAUACUAUUAGUCUUGAAUUUUGUUGAGGUAGGCGGAAUAAGUCAUGUAGCGGUGAAAUGCAUAGAUAUGACUUAGAACACCAAUUGCGAAGGCAGCUUGCUAAACAAAUAUUGACGCUGAGGCACGAAAGCGUGGGGAUCAAACAGG